rnacentral:rRNA from 1 species
AUUGAACGCUGGCGGCAUGCCUUACACAUGCAAGUCGAACGGCAGCACGGGAGCAAUCCUGGUGGCGAGUGGCGAACGGGUGAGUAAUAUAUCGGAACGUGCCCAGUCGUGGGGAUAACGUAGCGAAAGCUACGCUAAUACCGCAUACGAUCUAUGGAUGAAAGCGGGGGAUCGCAAGACCUCGCGCGAUUGGAGCGGCCGAUAUCAGAUUAGGUAGUUGGUGAGGUAAAGGCUCACCAAGCCGACGAUCUGUAGCUGGUCUGAGAGGACGACCAGCCACACUGGGACUGAGACACGGCCCAGACUCCUACGGGAGGCAACAGUGGGGAAUUUUGGACAAUGGCGCAAGCCUGAUCCAGCAAUGCCGCGUGCAGGAUGAAGGCCUUCGGUUGUAACUAGCUUUGUUACGG